rnacentral:tRNA from 1 species
GGGGUUGUGGCUCAAUGGCAGAGCGCUUGCCUUGCAUGUGUGAGGCACUGGUUCGAUCCUCAGCACCA